rnacentral:rRNA from 1 species
CGGGCCUAAGGUGGGGACGAGAGUCGUAGCCGAUGGACAACAGGUGGAGAUUCCUGUACUAUGAUAUGACAGAACUGUGGGGACACGUGCAGAGAGCGGAAGCCGGGAACGGUAUCCCGGUGCAAGCGAGGUACCAGAUGCGUUGGAAAAACCGCGCAUCAAUGGGAAGACGUGAUGCGGAAUGAAGUUUAGUAAUGAAGUCCGUGAGCUGUGCGUCAAGAAAAGCCGCUAUUGUUCAUACCAUACCCGUACCGUAAACCGACACAGGUGGAUGAGGAGAGAAUCCUAAGGCCGGCGGAAGAAGCAUUGUCAAGGAACUCGGCAUGACCCCGUAACUUCGGGAGAAGGGGUGCCACUGAGAAGUGGCCGCAGAGAAUAGGCUCAAGCAACUGUUUAGCAAAAACACAGGUCUAUGCGAAACCGUAAGGUGAGGUAUAUGGGCUGACGCCUGCCCGGUGCUGGAAGGUUAAGAGGAGAGGUUAGCGGAAACGCGAAGCUUUGAAUUUAAGCCCCAGUAAACGGCGGCCGUAACUAUAACGGUCCUAAGGUAGCGAAAUUCCUUGUCGGGUAAGUUCCGACCUGCACGAAAGGCGUAAUGAUUUGAGCGCUGUCUCGACAAUGCAUCCGGUGAAAUUGAAGUACCAGUGAAGAUGCUGGUUACCUGCGCCAGGACGGAAAGACCCCAUGGAGCUUUACUCCAGUUUGGUACUGGGAUCCGGUACUGCAUGUACAGGAUAGGUGGGAGGCUAUGAAAUGGUAACGCCAGUUGCCAUGGAGCCGCUGUUGGGAUACCACCCUUGCAGUAUUGGGUUUCUAACCAGCCGCCGUGACCCGGCGGGGGACAAUGCCAGACGGGGAGUUUGACUGGGGCGGUCGCCUCCGAAAGGGUAUCGGAGGCGCCCAAAGGUUCCCUCAGGAUGGACGGAAACCAUCCAAAGAGUGCAAAGGCAGAAGGGAGCUUGACUGCGACACCGACGGGUGGAGCAGGUACGAAAGUAGGGCUUAGUGAUCCGGUGGUAUUAAGUGGGAAUGCCAUCGCUCAACGGAUAAAAGCUACCCUGGAUAACAGGCUUAUCACUCCCAAGAGUUCACAUCGGCGGAGUGGUUUGGCACCUCGAUGUCGGCUCAUCGCAUCCUGGGGCUGUAGUAGGUCCCAAGGGUUGGGCUGUUCGCCCAUUAAAGCGGUACGCGAGCUGGGUUCAGAACGUCGUGAGACAGUUCGGUCCCUAUCCGGCGUGGGCGUAGGAUAUCUGAGAGGAGCUGUCCUUAGUACGAGAGGACCGGGAUGGACGGGCCGCUGGUGCACCGGUUAGACUGCCAAGUCUAUAGCCGGGUAGCCAAGCCCGGAAGGGAUAAACGCUGAAGGCAUCUAAGCGUGAAGCCCCCCUCAAGAUGAGAUAUCCCAUCCGAAAGGAGUAAACCCCCUUGAAGACGACGAGGUUGAUAGGGCAGGGGUGGAAGUGUGGUAACACAUGGAGCUGACUGCUACUAAUAGGGUGAGGGCUUGACCU